CCCGGACCAUGAAGCCGGAGAAGGCAUCUCUGCUGCAAAUGUUUCAAUGCUCCCCCUAUCAUCUCCGUCUCAGAGGCUAAUGCAGAUAA